rnacentral:rRNA from 1 species
AGUGAACGCUGGCGGCAUGCCUAACACAUGCAAGUCGAACGGCAGCACAGUAAGAGCUUGCUCUUACGGUUGGCGAGUGGCGGACGAGUGAGGAAUACAUCGGCAUCUACUUUUUCUUGGGUGAUAACGUAGGGAAACUUACGCUAAUACCGCAUACUACCUACGGGUGAAAUCAAGGGAUCUUCGGACCUUGCCCGACUGUAUUAGACGACGUCGGAUUAGCUAGUUGGCGGGGUAAAGGCACACCAAGGCGACGAUCCGUAGCUGGUCUGAGAGGAUGAUCGGCCACACUGGAACUGAGACACGGUCCAGACUCCUACGGGAGGCAGCAGUGGGGAAUAUUGGACAAUGGGCGCAAGCCUGACCCAGCCAUACCGCGUGGGUGAAGAAGGCCUUCGGGUUGUAAAGCCCUUUUGUUGGGAAAGAAAAGCAGCAGGUUAAUACCCGGCUGUUCUGACGGUACCCAAAGAAUAAGCACCGGCUAACUUCGUG